GAUGAACGCUGGCGGCGUGCCUAAUACAUGCCAGUCGAGCGAACAGACGAGGAGCUUGCUCCUCUGACGUUAGCGGCGGACGGGUGAGUAACACGUGGAUAACCUACCUAUAAGACUGGGAUAACUUCGGGAAACCGGAGCUAAUACCGGAUAAUAUAUUGAACCGCAUGGUUCAAUAGUGAAAGACGGUUUUGCUGUCACUUAUAGAUGGAUCCGCGCCGCAUUAGCUAGUUGGUAAGGUAACGGCUUACCAAGGCAACGAUGCGUAGCCGACCUGAGAGGGUGAUCGGCCACACUGGAACUGAGACACGGUCCAGACUCCUACGGGAGGCAGCAGUAGGGAAUCUUCCGCAAUGGGCGAAAGCUUGACGGAGCAACGCCGCGUGAGUGAUGAAGGUCUUCGGAUCGUAAAACUCUGUUAUUAGGGAAGAACAAAUGUGUAAGUAACUAUGCACGUCCUGACGGUACCUAAUCAGAAAGCCACGGCUAACUACGUG
rnacentral:rRNA from 1 species